CGGAAUCUACCUUUUCGUGGGGGAUAACGUAGGGAAACUUACGCUAAUACCGCAUACGACCUACGGGUGAAAGUGGGGGACCGCAAGGCCUCACGCGAUUAGAUGAGCCGAUGUCCGAUUAGCUAGUUGGCGGGGUAAUGGCCCACCAAGGCGACGAUCGGUAGCUGGUCUGAGAGGAUGAUCAGCCACACUGGAACUGAGACACGGUCCAGACUCCUACGGGAGGCAGCAGUGGGGAAUAUUGGACAAUGGGCGCAAGCCUGAUCCAGCCAUACCGCGUGGUGAAGAAGGCCUUCGGUUGUAAAGCCCCUUUGUUGGGAAAGAAAUCCUGUCGAUUAAUACUCGUGGGGAUGACGGUACCCAAAGAAUAAGCACCGGCUAACUUCGUGCCAGCAGCCGCGGUAAUACGAAGGGUGCAAGCCGUUACUCGGAAUUACUGGGCGUAAAGCGUGCGUAGGUGGUGGUUUAAGUCUGCUGUGAAAGCCUGGGCUCAACCUGGGAAUUGCAGUGGAUACUGGAUCACUAGAGUGUGGUAGAGGGAUGCGGAAUUUCUGGUGUAGCAGUGAAAUGCGUAGAGAUCAGAAGGAACAUCCGUGGCGAAGGCGGCAUCCUGGGCCAACACUGACACUGAGGCACGAAAGCGUGGGGAGCAAACAGGAUUAGAUACCUGGUAGUCCACGCCCUAAACGAUGCGAACUGGAUGUUGGGUGCAACUUG
rnacentral:rRNA from 1 species